rnacentral:rRNA from 1 species
UACGUAGGGGGCAAGCGUUGUCCGGAUUUAUUGGGCGUAAAGAGCGUGUAGGCGGCCAAGCAGGUCCGCUGUGAAAACUCGAGGCUCAACCUCGAGAGGUCGGUAGAAACCGUUUGGCUAGAGUCCGGAAGAGGAGAGUGGAAUUCCCGGUGUAGCGGUGAAAUGCGCAGAUAUCUGGAGGAACACCGGUGGCGAAGGCGACAUCCUGGACCAACACUGACGCUGAGGAGCGAAAGCCAGGGGAGCAAACGGG